UGCACCCACAGAUGUGGUAUGCCUUCCUCUCUUUAUAUAUGUAAGCACGCAGGGCGUGAAUUGAGAGAAGUAGAAGAAAACAAGCGAGGAGUAAAAAUGGCAAAGCUAUAUCUGAGGGCCUUGCGAGCUUCCAUUCUACUCCUUGUAGUAGUGCUUGGUCAUGGCCGUCUAUGAUAGAAUCAAGGAGCACAUUCUUCCACACUCCUCUCCAAGGGAUUGCAUCGUGCAGAAGGAGAAUGGAGCUCUCGGUUGAUAGUCUCUCCCCUUCCUAUCGCGAAUCCGUCCCACUACUUUUGUUUUUCCAUCUGUUUUUGCUUAUGCUAUAUGACUUGAAUAAAUGGAGAACGACAAAGGGAUCACAUGCCAUAUUUGUAACCCUUAUUAAGGGCCCGCUUGGAUACCAACAAAUAAGUUAUUUUUUAAA